rnacentral:rRNA from 1 species
GACGAACGCUGGCGGCGUGCUUAACACAUGCAAGUCGAGCGGUAAGGCCUUUCGGGGUACACGAGCGGCGAACGGGUGAGUAACACGUGGGUGAUCUGCCCUGCACUUCGGGAUAAGCCUGGGAAACUGGGUCUAAUACCGGAUAUGACCUCCUAUCGCAUGGUGGGUGGUGGAAAGAUUUAUCGGUGCAGGAUGGGCCCGCGGCCUAUCAGCUUGUUGGUGGGGUAAUGGCCUACCAAGGCGACGACGGGUAGCCGACCUGAGAGGGUGACCGGCCACACUGGGACUGAGACACGGCCCAGACUCCUACGGGAGGCAGCAGUGGGGAAUAUUGCCCAAUGGGCGAAAGCCUGAUGCAGCGACGCCGCGUGAGGGAUGACGGCCUUCGGGUUGUAACCCUCUUUCAGCAGGGACGAAGCGCAAGUGACGGUACCUGCAGAAGAAGCACCGGCUAACUACGUG